rnacentral:ribozyme from 1 species
UGCCCUGCAAAUCCUAUCCCAACCUCCUCGUGGUACCGGCCGGAAACUACGGGCAACCUUAGGGAAGAUCGGGUAACCAACCCCGGUGGGAACUUUGGUCGUAGGCUGACAGGGAAGG